rnacentral:rRNA from 1 species
UCGGGAAUAUUGCGCAAUGGAGGAAACUCUGACGCAGUGACGCCGCGUGCAGGAAGAAGGUUUUCGGAUUGUAAACUGCUUUAGACAGGGAAGAAAAAAUGACAGUACCUGUAGAAUAAGCUCCGGCUAACUACGUGCCAGCAGCCGCGGUAAUACGUAGGGAGCAAGCGUUAUCCGGAUUUAUUGGGUGUAAAGGGUGCGUAGACGGGAAAACAAGUUAGUUGUGAAAUCCCUCGGCUUAACUGAGGAACUGCAACUAAAACUAUUUUUCUUGAGUGCUGGAGAGGAAAGUGGAAUUCCUAGUGUAGCGGUGAAAUGCGUAGAUAUUAGGAGGAACACCAGUGGCGAAGGCGACUUUCUGGACAGUAACUGACGUUGAGGCACGAAAGUGUGGGGAGCAAACAGGAUUAGAUACCC